UUUGCCCAGGCCUGCUCUAUAUACCACUGCCUCUAUAUAUACAUACACAUAGAGUGGUAUAUGGAGGGUGUCUCUCUCAGCUGUUCACUGAGGACCUCCAAAACAGGUGUUGCAAGUUAUUUCCAAACAAGCCAAGCAUUGCAAGGCAAGGUCUGCACUUUGACAAUUAAGUAGUAAGUUAUGCUGUCGAAAGCUUUCAUGGCCAGAAUCACUGGGUUGCUGUGAGGUUUCCGGGCUGUAUGGCCAUGUUCCAGAAGCAUUCUCUUCUGGAAGAUGUCUCACCCACAUCUAUGGCAGGCAUCUUCAGAGGCUGUGAGCCGUCAGCAUUAUCUCAAAACUUACCCCAGAGGGCUUCCAGAAGCAAGAUUUGGCUGCAAUAAGAGAUCAGUCCCCUGAUCCAGUUGUGCUGAUGGAAACCAUUUUCUUAGCAGAUGUACAAUAGCUAAGAUAUGGUACUGACAUUACGGUGUACAUCAGUACCUCUCAGGCUAUUGAUAUAGAAGACUGGUAAUUUUUGUUCUCUAAUGUAAUAAAGAUCAGCACUAUG